rnacentral:rRNA from 1 species
AGGAUGAACGCUGGCGGCGUGCCUAACACAUGCAAGUCGAACGAAGCACUUUUUUACGAUCCCUUCGGGGUGACGAAUUUGUGACUGAGUGGCGGACGGGUGAGUAACGCGUGGGAAACCUGCCUUGUACCGGGGGAUAGCAGUUGGAAACGACUGAUAAUACCGCAUAAGCGCACAGUAUCACAUGAUACAGUGUGAAAAACUCCGGUGGUACAAGAUGGUCCCGCGUCUGAUUAGCUUGUUGGCGGGGCAACGGCCCACCAAGGCGACGAUCAGUAGCCGACCUGAGAGGGUGACCGGCCACAUUGGGACUGAGACACGGCCCAAACUCCUACGGGAGGCAGCAGUGGGGAAUAUUGCACAAUGGAGGAAACUCUGAUGCAGCGACGCCGCGUGAGCGAUGAAGUAUUUCGGUAUGUAAAGCUCUAUCAGCAGGGAAGAUAAUGACGGUACCUGAGUAAGAAGCUCCGGCUAAAUACGUG